GAGGGUGUGUCGGCCAUUUUGUGUCUGUUUCCUGUGGGACGCGGCGGUGGCGGUUGGUUCCGAUACUUCGGCGAUUUUCUUCGGAUUUUUCCAGCUUCUUUUCGCCUCCUUUCUACCUGGUCUGUAGAGCGCGGUUAUGGGUCGCAAGAAGAAGAAGCAGUUGAAGCCGUGGUGCUGGUAUUGUAACAGAGAUUUUGAUGAUGAGAAGAUCCUUAUACAGCACCAAAAAGCAAAACAUUUCAAAUGUCAUAUAUGCCAUAAGAAGUUGUACACGGGACCUGGGUUAGCUAUUCACUGCAUGCAGGUGCAUAAAGAAACUAUAGAUGCUGUACCAAAUGCCAUACCUGGAAGAACAGACAUAGAGUUGGAAAUAUAUGGCAUGGAAGGUAUUCCAGAAAAGGAUAUGGAUGAAAGACGACGACUUCUUGAACAGAAAACACAAGAGAGUCAAAAAAAGAAGCAACAAGAUGAUUCUGAUGAAUAUGAUGAUGAUGAAUCUGCAGCCUCAACUUCCUUUCAGCAACAGCCUGUCCAACCUCAGCAAGGUUAUAUCCCACCAAUGGCCCAGCCAGGAUUGCCCCCAGUUCCGGGGGCACCAGGAAUGCCUCCAGGCAUACCUCCAUUGAUGCCAGGUGUUCCUCCGCUGAUGCCAGGGAUGCCUCCAGUUAUGCCGGGCAUGCCACCUGGAUUGCAUCAUCAGAGAAAAUACACCCAGUCAUUUUGCGGUGAAAACAUAAUGAUGCCAAUGGGUGGAAUGAUGCCACCUGGACCUGGAAUACCACCUCUGAUGCCUGGGAUGCCACCAGGUAUGCCCCCUCCUGUUCCACGUCCUGGAAUUCCUCCAAUGACUCAAGCACAGGCUGUUUCAGCACCAGGUAUUCUUAAUAGACCACCUGCACCAACAGCAGCAGUACCUGCUCCACAGCCUCCAGUUACUAAGCCUCUUUUCCCCAGUGCUGGACAGAUGGGGACACCUGUAACAAGCUCAAGUACAGCUUCAUCCAAUUCAGAAAGUCUGUCUGCAUCUUCUAAAGCUCUGUUUCCUAGCACAGCACAAGCUCAGGCAGCUGUCCAAGGACCUGUUGGUACAGAUUUCAAGCCCUUAAAUAGUACUCCUGCAACAACUACAGAACCCCCAAAGCCUACAUUCCCUGCUUAUACACAGUCUACAGCUUCAACCACUAGUACAACAAAUAGUACUGCAGCAAAACCAGCAGCUUCAAUUACAAGUAAGCCUGCUACACUUACAACCACCAGUGCAACCAGUAAGUUGAUCCAUCCUGAUGAGGAUAUAUCGCUGGAAGAAAGAAGGGCACAGUUACCUAAAUAUCAGCGUAAUCUUCCUCGGCCAGGACAGACUCCAAUUGGUAAUCCACCAGUUGGACCAAUUGGGGGUAUGAUGCCACCGCAGCCAGGCAUCCCUCAGCAGCAAGGAAUGAGACCUCCAAUGCCACCUCAUGGUCAGUAUGGUGGUCACCAUCAAGGCAUGCCAGGUUACAUUCCUGGUGCUAUGCCACCUUAUGGACAGGGACCACCAAUGGUACCCCCUUACCAAGGUGGGCCCCCUCGACCUCCAAUGGGAAUGAGACCUCCUGUUAUGUCGCAAGGUGGCCGUUACUGAUCUUACUUCAUCAAGUCUAAUAGGUUUUUAGAAGUGAAGUAAUAGUAAAUUUGGUUCGUUAAAUUGUGAAGGCGCUGGAAUUACAUGAACAUACCAUCUUAAAUAAAGCCCUGCCAUAGGACAGGCUGAGGCUGAGUCUCAGUGUUGCCCUGUUCAGUCUGAGGCAAGUGGGAUUUAUUUUAUUACUUACAGGGGCUUUCACAGCUUUACGGCUGUUGGAUAUUCAUGUCCCCAAACUUGCAGCAAGUUUGGUGAAGGCCCCUAAAUUUAAUUAAACUUAGGAUUUUUAUAUUCCUUGGGCAGAGAAGGCUCUAUAUUAAUAUUCACGUUUGACUGUGGUGUAAGAAACAUAUAAGUAUUGCUUUAUUAUAUACUAUCUAAAGCUUUAUAAACCUUAAUAAAUUGAUCAUUUUAUAUUUGUGAUUUGGAGGCAUGAAAUGUUUCAUUCAAAUUUUUACUUUGACCUCUAGGAAAAUAAUACUGGUUGUUUUCUGUUCAAACUUAAAUUUAAUCUCAAGGAUAAGCUUAAUUAUUUGAAUGCCACAGGAUAAUGUUUGUUCUCAAUCCCAAGCUUAUAUUGAACAUGAGGGUGGUAAGGUUAUCUGGAAAUGGCUUAAUGACCUUUCUCAAAUCUCACCACACUAGAGCAAAUGUUAAUGUAGAGCCCUGUAACGAGUGGGAAGGUGAUUUGUCUGUGCUUGUGUGGUGUGUAUGGGUGUAGACUACAGGUGUGGUAUGGGUUUGGGUAUUACAUGUCUCAAUGGAUAGAUAACUAAUUUUCAGGCAGCCAAAUUGAAAUUGGAUCAUGUGAUAAGUCUCAAACUUUGGAAUGUUUCUUUUUGGAACUUAAGUUUUAUCUUUUACUGAUGAGUGCUUUAUAUAAUCACACACCAGUAGUAUAUCCACAUUUGUUUUAAAUUAGAAUUUGCUUUGAUUAUGAUGGCCUUUAAAAACUUGUAUGUUGGGAAUGGGGAUGAUGGAAAAAGGUAACUUAUAUUUUGUUUAUUCCUUGCACUAGACUAGAAACAUUUUAAAAUCUUUUGUGGUUAUCUUGGGGUUUUGUCUGUUUUAUUUAUUUUUCCAAGACGGGGUUUCUCUGUAGCCCUGACUGUCUGGAAUUUGUUUACUAGGCUAGUCUCAAACUUACAGAUCUGUCUGUCUUUGCCUCAUGCAUGCUGGGUUUAAAAGCUUGCACCAGCACACCUGGCUAGAUUUUAAUUCUUAAGAACUACUGUUUACAUGACAAUAUUUCACUGAAGUGUUUUAUUACUUUAGUAAUUACAGUUUUAGGUUUACUAAGACUUAACUAUAGUUCAGUCAUAGAAGGCUUAUCUCUAAUGCUCAAGGCUCUGAAUUUCAUUCCUACCACCCACCAUUUAACAACUAAUUGGAGAUACAUUGUAUUUUUGUAACCUUUUCUCCUGACCCAAUUCUACAUUAAUAGUAAAAUGUUAUUUACUUGAAUAAUAGGGCUGGUGGAGAGAUUUAACAGAUACCUAAUCAAAGGUUUUAGGUCCUGAUGAAGUCUGCUGGUAAAACUAACUUCACCUUAGUGAGAUAUUAUUUGAAUAAGCUACUGAAUAUGGGAUUUGUAUUGGUUAGAAUUUACUAAGUAAGUCAGAUAGGUUUUUUGGGGGGGUUUCGAGACAGGGUUUCUCUGUAUUGUUUUGGAGGCUGUCCUGGAACUAGCUCGUAUUGACCAGGCUGGCCUCAAACUCAGAGAUCCUCCUGUCUCUGCCUCCCGAGUGCUGGGAUAAAAGGCAUGCGCCACCAACACCUGGCCAGAUAGGUAUUUUUUAAAGGUAAUAUUUGCCUAUGUAAUCCUGAAGUUGUAUAUUCCAAAAUGAAACUAAAUUUCCUCUAAAAGGAAGUGGAGUGUAUGAGUAAACUUUAUUGGGUAAAAUACUCCCCAAUUUUCUAUGCUAGUUUCCUCAUGAAUGAAAUUGAGGGUUUCCUUAAUAUUUAGUGUUUUUUUCUUAUCUAAGUCAUUUUAAUAAUCUUGUUUUUAUACUAAUCUAGCUUUUCUCUGUGAUAACUGUAAAAUAAGCACCUUACAAAUAUAGUAUGUAGACUCUCAUGUGGUAUGUCUGAAUUAGCAUAAUAAUUACUUUUUAAAACUAGUAUCUUAAGCUCUUAGACAUUGUCAAUAGACCACUAUUAAUACAUAAAUUGAUAGUAAAUAAAGCUUGACUUUAAGUUGCCAAGAAACACAAGAGCAGCUGUUCUAAGUCCUUGUGUUGAACUUCAGGGGUUUUAUUUGUUUCAAGGCCAGGUGUGGUGACACUUGUGUAAUUCAGCAUUCUGGAGGAUGAGAUGAGAUAAGGGUCUUCCUGCAAGUUGAAGGCCAUCCAGAGUUAGAGGGAUAAAGGCUAGUGGGUCUGAGUUCAGUUUCAGCCUGGUCUGCCUAUGUAUAAUUUCAGACCAUCCAGUUCUAUCUAAUGCAAUGCUAAAUAAUUUUUUUUAUUCUGUAAGGCUAAGAAAAUUGUUUUUAAUGUGCACUAUUUUUUUCUCUUAAGUGCUGUGCAUUUCCUAUUCAAAAUAUAUUUUUCCUUCCAUUAGUUUGAAUGAAUUGAAUUAAUUUUAUGUAAAAUAUACUGUUUCAUUUCCAGUGGAAAAUGUUUUAGUAAGAAAAAUGUUAGGCUACGAGAGAUACACAGUCUAAAAUUUAGUAAUUGUUAAAGCCAAUUUCAACUAUUUUUGUUUAAGUUAAAUAUAUUGAAAACUGUGUAACUGGCUCUGUAGGUUUUCACUUUGAUUAGGGUCUUGAGAAUGAAUAUGACAAUAUGUUUUUGUAUGUGUUGUCAUUCUGCAUAGGGUCCCAAAAAGAGGAUGUGUAUACAUUGCCUUAAAGGAUUACUUGGACUCCAGCCAUUAUUUUAAAUGUUGCUAUGAUUUGUAAAGUUUUUGGGCAGUAUAAUGACUUAUUUACUGUUUGACAUUUUCUAAGCCUAUUUUAUCUGGAAACUUUGUAUGUGUGUAUGUGUGUGUAUCUGUGUGUCUGUUUUUCUUUUGGGCUUUUAAAAGUCUGUCUUCACUAUUUGACAAUUUGCGGGAUUGGUAAUGAAAUUCUUGUUGCCCUACUUGAGUAAAAAUGAAGAAUGAAGCUGGAGGUAGCCUAGUGGCAGAGUGCAUGUUACGUAUGCAUGAAGCCCUGGAUUCAAUUCCCAGCACCAAAAAGAAAAGAAAAAGAAGAAUGAAGACCUGUUUCCCCAAUAUAGUAUACAUUAACUGACACUGGUUAUGUGAGAAACUAUUGUAUGGUGGGUUUAGAUUUAAGAACCUAAAAUGUUAUAAGAAUAACUUUCUGCUUAUUUUUUGUUCCUUUGAGGUUUUACCCUCUUAUUUUGGUGAAGAUCAUUGACAUUUUUAAGAUGAUCUGCUAAUCCCAUGUGAAAAUAAUCGUUUCUACUAUCUUUCUAGGGUUGUUUAAUUGCCCAAGUUGUCCAAGAGAAGAAUUAUUUUAUAGUCUUUCCAGUUUAAAUCAGAAACAGGGUAUCUAUUUAAUAUUUAAGAGUUAAUUCCCCUUUACUUCUAGCUGGUUAAUAUAGGUGGAGGAGAAGUAACAAAAUUUAUAGCCAUCCCCUUUUUAAUUGGAGAUUAAAAAUAAAAGUUAGAAUUGCCUGUAAGGUUUGCCUACAUGCUAAUUGAAAUUUAAAAGUUUAUCACAUUUAAAUAUAUAUGUCCCUUUUUAGGGAAAAUAAAAUUUCCAGCACACCUUACACAUUGAACACAUUAUUGAUUGGACAUUAAAGCUUGUCCAAGAGAUACUUCAGUGUUCUAGCUCAUUAUCAAUUUCAGUAGCCAAUGUAAAGCAAAUUUUGUUAGGCUAAGGCAAACUUUUAAAAUGUACUGCUAUCAGGCUCUGAGGAAAUUAAAUGCGCAUUGACUUUUUAAAGUAUGGGUUGAACUCCUCAGCUUAAUACAAUUUGUGUUUUUGUUAACUAGCAGCAGAAUUUCAGCAUUUCCUACUUACUGGUAGAGAAGAAAAAUCCCACAGCCCUGCCAGUACAGGUUAGUUUAAUCUGUAAGUACCUGAUGUUCCUUUUUUUUUUUUUAUCCCCACCCCCAACAUACCCAUUUAAAGCACAUAAGGAAGAAAACUGCUAUGCAGUUACUUAAAUGUGAGUAUAAAUAAUAGAUCCAUUGGAUAAUCUCAAACACUCAGUUCUUGGACCAGAGUGGGUAGCUCUAAGUUUGCCGACCCUAGUUGUUAAAUGGCGUAAUGCUGCUCUUUUAUUAUCUGGUUGUUCCUGAACCUAUGUAGGUAUGUGCCUUUUAAAAGGCAGGGGGGAAAUAGUUUGGUUAGCUGAGUCCAUGUAGUCCAAAACUUCAGGUCCAUGAUCCUUGAUUAAGGAACUCAUGGUGUUUUCAGUUACUCUUUACCUUUUACAGACUUUCUCGACUAUUAGCAGUGAAAGAUGUGGUGCACAAUUGUAAGCUAGGGAGUUUUACUUUUGUUGUUUUAAUUAGAUACAGUAAUACUUGUACAUAAUUUGUUCAUCUGUAAGCUGUAAAUUAGCGUGCCACUGUGAUUCAUCACUGACAAGGAAGUUCACUGCAUAGUCUUGCACACUUUUCAUCCCAGAACUCUGCAGGUAGAGCUAGAAAUGAUAUAAUUUUAAGCCCAGGAUGGUCUGUGUAAUGAUUUCCUGGCAUAAAAUUAGAUUCUUAUGUAGUUCUUGGAGUUUAAUGAGAAAGUCAUACACUAGAGAUUUAACCAGUGGAAAUAGUAAGUUGGAAGUUAAUUAGCCAUCCUUCAAUUGGAUCAUUAUUUUAUUUGAGAACAAUAUGAUUUGUCUAAAAGUUUAAAGACCCAUAUCUAGCAGCCAAUAAUAAAAAUAUUGUGAAUUUUUUUCCUCCACUUUGAUUUUUGAUUGUAAAAUUGCCUGAGGGCUUAAGUUUGAUUGCCUUUCACAGUUUAAUCUAAGAAUGGCGUAGAUACAGUGGAAAUGGUUUUCCUUAUCUCUUUAGAGCUGCCUUUCUGGUGAGUACUGCUUUAUAAUUUUCAUAUCGUGGUUUUAUUUUUUUAGCCUAGCUGAAAUGUGACAAUGAUCAAAGAGGUGAGCAGUAAGAAUUUUCAUAACUUGGGUACUAAUUGGGUCAAAUCUUUGACCAUUACUCCUGGACAUUUCCCUAUGUGUGCCCCCCCCCCCAUUUUUCUAAAGGGCGAUGAGCACAAAUAUGUUAACACAGAUUAUUUCAGUAUUUCCUUUGAGAAUUAUUGCUUUACUUAAGAUUAGUGAUUAAGAAAAUCUAGGGAAGCCGGGCGUUGGUGGCGCACGCCUUUAAUCCCAGCACUCGGGAGGCAGAGGCAGGUGGAUCUCUGUGAGUUCGAGGCCACACUGGUCUACAGAGCGAGUUCCAGGACAGCCUCCAAAGCCACAGAGAAACCCUGUCUCGAAACCCCCCCCCCCCCAAAAAAAGGAAAUCUAGGGACAGGACAGAUGUUAAGACCAUGUCUUUACUCUAGGUAUGGUGGUGCACCCCCUUAAUCCUACCACUCAGGAGAGAGGGGCAAGUGGAUCUCUGGGAGUUCCAGAACGGCCAGGACUAUGUAGAGAAACCCUAUCUCAAAAAAUAAAAUAGUGAAUAGUUCAUUCUCAUUGUUAGGUGAUUCAACCACCUAUGUCCAUGAUUAAGAAUACUUAAAAAAUUUUUUUUGUUUCUCACUGCAUAGGUAAAUGAUAGAAUUGUAUUCUGUUGCUGAACAGUUUAAAUCAUUCCAACCAUGCAUGGAAAACUUGUGUUACAAAUACUGAUUUCUAGCAUAUGUUUACCUGUGAAAAUUAGCCCAUAAAUAUAUUUAUUUCUGUCUUGUUUAGUCAUUAGCCUGUGACAUAAGGGUUUCUUUCCCUCUUGCUUUUAGGCACAUUCUAGAUAAUGCUAGUAUAUUUGUAUAUACAUUCGAUUUCUGCUAUAACCUUUGUGAACCAAUAAGGUCAAUCCUGUUGCUUUUAGUAUAAACUUAGUAUUCUAAAAUCUGGAAUUUAAUCUGAGCAUGUAUGGUAAUGUAUUUUAGAUGAGCCCUCAACAAAGUCUUGAGUCUGAAUUUGUGUCUUUAAGAUUUAAAGUGAAAUAAAUUUCUAAGGAACUCUGUCCUUUCCUAGCACGGAUAAACAGACUGACAGUUGGUAAGUAUGUAACUUUACAUGCAUGUAGUGGUAAGGGUGAGUUGCCAGACUACUCCAAGAUAAUUAGAAGUGAACAGAAAUUCCUGAAUCUUUCUAGGAACUUGAUAUGUAUAUCUAACGUUUUCUCCAAAUAUGUGUACUCAAAAUGAUUAAAGUGAAAUGUACCUUA